rnacentral:rRNA from 1 species
UACGGGGGGGAGCAAGCGUUGUUCGGAUUUACUGGGCGUAAAGGGCGCGUAGGCGGCCACCGCAAGUCGACUGUGAAAUCUCCGGGCUUAACCCGGAAAGGUCAGCCGAUACUGCGGGGCUAGAGUGCAGAAGGGGCAACUGGAAUUCUCGGUGUAGCGGUGAAAUGCGUAGAUAUCAAGAGGAACACCCGUGGCUAAGGCGGUUCUCUAGUACGGUACUGACGCUGAGACGCGAAAGCGCGGGGAGCGAACAGG